GGGGGUCUAUCAGAAACAACCUUUCUACUUCUCUUGAGGUAGUGGUAUGGUCUGCGUACACUCUACCCUCCCCAGACCCCACUAGGUGGGAAUACACUGGGUAUGCUAUUGUUGUUGUUGUAAAGAAACCUCUAAUGACCUACAUAUGAUAAGUAGCAUUACCACAUAGCUAUUAAACAUGUUUUAAACUAACCAAAUGGUAACCUUAGAUUUACAAUAAGAAAUAUGUUUAGGCUAUUGGAAUGAAUUGCUACCCCCUAAACUUAGUGACUAGAAAAAUGAUCAUGUCAAUCGCACCAAAUUAGUUUGAACUAACCAAUUAUCAUCUAUCAAUUAUUUUACACACACAUAUUGAGACUACAUCAAUUGAAACCAACGAUGUUCAACAUAUACAUAAUUUAAAAUAGGAAUAAGAAAAUUAGAUUCGCACAAAGGUAAUUUAGGCAAAAAGUACAUUAGGUCCAUGUAAACAAAAUGCGAGAACGAACAUACAUAACUUAGCCACUGCAUAAUUAUUCGAGUGAACAUUUAGCAUGUUAGUCUCAACACGAGAGAACAAAGCAAAUUAUGAAGUCGCUUUACGAACUCAAGCACCACAGUUACAUAGAUGUAGAUAAAAAUGCCAAAACAGGUUCAAACAAGCGCACAUUAACAUCAAGACUAGGUAUGAGACAAAACUCUUCACCUAUUAAGUAAAAAAUUUAAAAGAUAUUAGUACAAGUAUGAAUAUCAAAAUCAUUCAAAGCACCAACAAAUAAACAAGACUAGCUAGCCCAUACAUUAACAAAUUAUAUGUUUUCAAACUUAGUCAUUCCCCAGCAAAUAAUAUUUAGACGAACAAUGGAUUGAACUAUAAUAACAACAUUUGAACUAUAAUAACAACAUGAAACUAUGGAAUUUAAAGAAUUAGAAUUAUGAAACUAAGCAUUCAAAUAAACCAGUAUGGCAAGAUAUAUCGAUUCAACAGGCAACAUAACCACACGCAAAUUCUGUGACCAUUGAGGCUUUUAUAGCAAAUAGUCCCUCCAUUAAUAUGCUUACGAAUAAUAUGAAUAAAUAUGAAGAAGAAAAGAGGACAACGAAGAAGAGAUAACAAACGAAUAAUAUGAAUAAAUAUGAAGAAGAAAAGAGGACAACGAAGAAGAGAUAACAAACUAAAAAGAAAAGUGUGUUUACCUUCUUCCGGGCAGUGAAUCGGGACGAUGAGUUCACGAUGACUUCACCAACUUUUUUGAUUCCAAAACAACAAGAAUAUAUAAAAGACUGAGCUAAAAUUCCCAUAACUCCAGGCUAGGGACCGAAGUCCAAAAUCCUAGUCGAGUAAAGAGAAUUCGUAGCCCCUUUGUCGUUCUCAAAAAACCCCCUCCCCAGCGAAUUCGAAGUAGUAUUUAUAGAGGAAACUAAAAAUUAGAAAACUAAUUUUAACGAUGUGGGAGUAGAAAUUCAGGGGUCUUUUGGGGAUUUCAAAUUAGAGAUAAGGUUAGUGAUGUGGAAGCUAGAAUCGUACCAUUCUUGUACGAAUUUACAAUUCAAAAUUCAAACGAGGAUGAGGUAUCAAUAUCGGGUCGGAACAAUCGGGUUCUUGACAGGUUGUUUUGCUGCCUCAGUUACGGGCUGGGGAUUUAGUCGCUGUUAACGUCGAUGUUGACGUUGCUGGAGUAGUUUUUUGCUGCUAACGCCGUCAGUUGAAGUUAUUAUUGUCGUUAUAUUGCUGGGUUUUUUUGUUGAUCGAUAUUAUUGUUGGUUGCUGUUAAAGUUGCUGGCGUUAUGUUAUUGGAUCAGGUCAUGGGGAGAUAGGGGUUAAAAGAAAGAGAAUUGGGUUUGGGCUGAGCUGGUAGCUGGGGUAGAAGGGAUUUUGGGUUGGAGGCCCAAUUUGAGAAUAGAAAAA
rnacentral:lncRNA from 1 species